AUGUAGCGAAGAAGCUCGCCAGACGCAGUAACAUAUUUCCUUUUCCCUCAGAUUACCACCCAAGAUACAGCUGGGCUGUUCUAGUUCCUGCGACAGGGAAAGAUCCCACCCUGGCUUGGAUGGAAUAACCUACAUGAGGUGGCGCUCGGCGUACACCCGAGGGAGGCCGUAAAUCCGCGGUCCCACGUGACUUUCGGGGUUUCGCUUCCCGGGCCCGAGUCCGACGGGUGAUGGUUAUGGUGGGGUGCGUUUGGAACUAGCCCGUGAAUUAAGUUUGUGGUGUGCUCCCGCGUUCCGAAGGUGCUUGCAGAGGUCGUUAGUAGGACCCGCGCUUCUCUCCCUUGAAUUUUUCUGGAAGUAACCCUGCUUUGGGUUCCCCCGGGGAAACGAAGAAGCCACGUGGUUGAGUUUCUGCUCCGCCACCCACCUAGUGUGAGCGGCCAAAACACCGAAAGCGGCCUCCCGCUUUGCAGCCAGAGCUGUACUCCGUCUACCUCUGUCCCACUUUCCCAACCUGUCUUUUCCGAAUUUCUUGCUAUUUCAAUCAGCGAUAGCAGCAGUCAACGCCACCACUACAGAGAAUCAAAGACGAGCUGGGUUGGAAAUGCGUCUGGUCCGCUCCCACCCCCACUUUACAGAAUGUUGCUGUGGAACUUAAGGACCUGAGGCUUGUCGCUUCAAGAUUGGCAGUAAUGGCAGGGCAGAGGGGAGUCACUCGGUGACUCUGCCACACCAGCGUUCCGUGUGUUUACAAAGAAAUAUCUGGAUUCUCCAAAGCACUUGUGGGUCAUUUUUGAGAAUCCCUUAAGCACCUAAUUCGACUGGAAUGCAGUAAAUGCUAGAGAAAAUUUAAAGGAGGAGAACCCAAAAAACUUCCCGAAUGAAGUUUCCAAAAAUCACUUGAGGUAAUUCGUAAAAAGAAACAAAAAUCAGUAGUUACACGGUAUCACUUCUUCCUAAAUAUUUUUUCAUGAAUUUUUAAAAUCCAUAACGCAAGUAAAAAUUGUGGAAAUAAAAUAUGUGGAUAUCUAGAGGGGGGAAUUACCCUCCCUCACCCAGCAAGGUUCUGAACUUUUCCUUUGCUCCGAUCCCCCUUUAAAGGUCGCCCUUCUCGAAGUGGAACGUCCAGCCGACCCGACCCUGCCCCCUGGGAGGUACAGACUGAGCCUGCCUGGACGGGACAUAUCCCCACCUCCCGGAACAUCGACCCCUGUCAACAGGAGGCGCGAGACCGGGAAACCUGAAGGGCCACCCGCACGUGUCGUUUU